AUUGAACGCUGGCGGCAUGCUUUACACAUGCAAGUCGAACGGCAGCGCGGGCUUCGGCCUGGCGGCGAGUGGCGAACGGGUGAGUAAUGCAUCGGAACGUGCCCCGUAGUGGGGGAUAGCCCGGCGAAAGCCGGAUUAAUACCGCAUACGACCUGAAGGUGAAAGCGGGGGACCGAAAGGCCUCGCGCUAUUGGAUCGGCCGAUGUCGGGUUAGCUAGUUGGUGGGGUAAAGGCUUGCCAAGGCGACGAUCCGUAGCUGGUCUGAGAGGACGACCAGCCACACUGGAAUUGAGCCACGGCCCAGACUCCACCGGGAGGCAGCAGUGGGGAGUUGUGGAUAAUGGGGGCAACCCUGAUCCAGCCAUGCCGCGUGGGGGAAGAAGGCCUUCGGGUUGGAAACGGAUUCUGUUCGGGAAGAAAUACUCUGGGCUAAUACCCCGGGGGGAUGACGGUACCGGAAGAAUAAGCACCGGCUAACUACGUG
rnacentral:rRNA from 1 species